AGAUAUAUAUCACAUUUAAUUUACAUUUGUGAAACAUAGAUGCAGAUGGUUAAAAAAGUCUGAUUAUUUUUCUGACAGUGAAGGUUUGCAGUGUUAGAUCACUUUUAAGAACUAACUGAGAAAUCAUUAGACUCACGAGGAACAGAAAAACUGCACAUGCGAAGGAUUUAGAUUCGUGUAGAAAGGAAACAAAAACCGACAGCAACAGGACCUUUCGAUGGAUUUGAGAGGAGCAGGAGGAACCCAAACCACUCACCGCUGAAGUCAGACUAUCAUCCAGAGCCCCGAGUCUGCUUUCAGACUCACGUCCUGCUUUUAGAGAAGUACAACUAGAGUGCCGGCUGAAGGAAACAACCAGGCUUUAAGAACAUGCCCAUCAGUCGCUGGCAGUAUUUGGAAAUGGUAUUUGUAAAAUGCCGGCUGAAGGAAACAACCAGGCUUUAAGAACAUGCCCAUCAGUCGCUGGCAGUAUUUGGAAAUGGUAUUUGUAAAACAGACAUAUGCAGGCCUCCUGGAGCCCAUUCUGGCCAAUCACCUGCACAGGCCACAGAGUCAAACUACAGGUCGAUAGAUCCUGCUGGAAAUGUGGUACUUUUAUUGUUAUGGUGAACGGGGUUGGUGUCGGACCUUAGACCAGUCUGAACGUCUGCAGCACAUUUGAAGCAAGUCGUGUCUCUCCUGACAGCUGUGGGUCAUCUGACCAUGACCUCUGUGCACCUGCUGGUCCUUUCUGAAGCAACACACAGUAAUGAUCUACUACAGUAGAUCACAGUAAUGAUCUACUGUAGUAGAUCAUUACUGUGUGUUGCUUCAGAAAGGCUGUGCUUUCUUCUAAAAUCUUUUUUUGGUGGGCACAUGAAACAGCUGAGUGGUAAUCUUUGGUACUGUACAUAUAUCAUUGUGCGUUUUAUAGAGUUUACUGAAUAUUCAGUUCAUACCAGGCAUCACCACAUUGAUGCUUUGCAUAUUGUUGUUAAUUGUUGCUAUUUGUAUGAAUGAUGCCAUUAAAAAAAACAAGUUUGAUUAGUUUUACACCCAAUACUUGCAAACAAGUCUUGAGCCUCACACCUUAAUUAAAAUCAAUUUGUAAAAUUACAGUCCCAUCACCAGAGGGCUUCUUUUAAGAGGACUUGUGAGGUUGCAGGUGUUAUCAGCCAUGCUUAUGAAUAAAGAAAUCCAAUACACGCUGGUGUUUGUGUAGAAAGGAAUAGCCUCUGCAUGUAUUAUUAUAAUCCAGCUCGCUGUUAAGGCGUAAAGUUGUUUACAGACAGAGGAGACAUAAUAUGAAAGGAAGGUGUGAUUGUACAAGAGUUUAUUUAAUAAAGGCUUUAAGUGACAGACAACACGAAUUGACUGAGCCGUUGGUGUAAAACAUGUAAAUCCAGUCUUGAAAUCUGGACCCCCCGUGGAGCUGCAGCAGCGUGGCUCCUCUCCUCCUGACAUCAUCUCUCUCUCUCCUUCCCCUCGUCGCUAUCUCGCUCGCUCGUUUCUGCUUUCAGGCCCAGCUUGGUGUUAGCAGGUAAAUGAGUUCUUAGAGAGCAUUAACUAAGAUCAGCAGUGGUUAUCUGAUCAGAGUGGGUCACAUGGAACAAAGGCCUCUCCCUUUCCUCCAGCCACCUGCACCGGCCACUACAAAAUGAGCUCCAAAGCCCAGUGUGUGUCUGUGUACCUGCAUGUGUGCAUGUGACC